rnacentral:tRNA from 1 species
GCCCAGUUCGACGCCCAGUAGAGCACCAGACUCUUAAUCUGGCUGGCGCGGGUUCGAGCCCCGCAUCGGGCU